GGGGAAUAUUGCGCAAUGGGCGAAAGCCUGACGCAGCGACGCCGCGUGUGGGAUGACGGCCUUCGGGUUGUAAACCACUGUCGGGAGGGACGAAUGCGCCGCAAGGCGAGUGACGGUACCUCCAAAGGAAGCACCGGCUAACUACGUGCCAGCAGCCGCGGUAAUACGUAGGGCGCAAGCGUUGUCCGGAAUUAUUGGGCGUAAAGAGCUCGUAGGUGGUCUGUUACGUCUGCUGUGAAAACCUAGGGCUUAACCCUGGGCCUGCAGUGGAUACGGGCAGACUAGAGGUAGGUAGGGGAGAAUGGAAUUCCCGGUGUAGCGGUGAAAUGCGCAGAUAUCGGGAGGAACACCGGUGGCGAAGGCGGUUCUCUGGGCCUUACCUGACACUGAGGAGCGAAAGCGUGGGGAGCGAAC
rnacentral:rRNA from 1 species